rnacentral:rRNA from 1 species
GACGAACGCUGGCGGCGUGCUUAACACAUGCAAGUCGAACGGAAAGGCCCUGCUUUUGUGGGGUGCUCGAGUGGCGAACGGGUGAGUAACACGUGAGUAACCUGCCCUUGACUUUGGUAUAACUUCAGGAAACUGGGGCUAAUACCGGAUAGGAGCUCCUGCUGCAUGGUGGGGGUUGGAAAGUUUCGGCGGUUGGGGAUGGACUCGCGGCUUAUCAGCUUGUUGGUGGGGUAGUGGCUUACCAAGGCUUUGACGGGUAGCCGGCCUGAGAGGGUGACCGGCCACAUUGGGACUGAGAUACGGCCCAGAAUCCUACGGGAGGCAGCAGUGGGGAAUAUUGCACAAUGGGCGGAAGCCUGAUGCAGCAACGACGCGUGCGGGAUGACGGCCUUCGGGUUGUAAACCGCUUUCGCCUGUGACGAAGCGUGAGUGACGGUAAUGGGUAAAGAAGCACCGGCUAACUAUGUG